rnacentral:rRNA from 1 species
UACGAAGGGGGGCUAGCGUUGCUCGGAAUGACUGGGCGUAAAGGGCGCGUAGGCGGAUGGUACAGUCAGAUGUGAAAUUCCUGGGCUUAACCUGGGGGGCUGCAUUUGAUACGUAUUGUCUAGAGUGAGGAAGAGGGUCGUGGAAUUCCCAGUGUAGAGGUGAAAUUCGUAGAUAUUGGGAAGAACACCGGUGGCGAAGGCGGCGACCUGGUCCUUGACUGACGCUGAGGCGCGAAAGCGUGGGGGAGCAAACAGGAUUAGAUACC